rnacentral:rRNA from 1 species
CCUACGGGAGGCAGCAGUGGGGAAUUUUGGACAAUGGGGGCAACCCUGAUCCAGCCAUGCCGCGUGAGUGAAGAAGGCCUUCGGGUUGUAAAGCUCUUUCAGCCGGGAAGAAAUCGUAUGGGUUAAUACCCUGUGCGGAUGACGGUACCGGAAUAAGAAGCACCGGCUAACUACGUGCCAGCAGCCGCGGUAAUACGUAGGGUGCGAGCGUUAAUCGGAAUUACUGGGCGUAAAGCGUGCGCAGGCGGUUUGUUAAGAUAGGCGUGAAAUCCCCGGGCUCAACCUGGGAACUGCGCUUAUGACUGGCAAGCUAGAGUACGGCAGAGGGGGGUGGAAUUCCACGUGUAGCAGUGAAAUGCGUAGAGAUGUGGAGGAACACCAAUGGCGAAGGCAGCCCCCUGGGUCGAUACUGACGCUCAUGCACGAAAGCGUGGGUAGCAAACAGGAUUAGAUACCCUGGUAGUCCACGCCCUAAACGAUGUCAACUAGGUGUUGGGACGGUUAAACCUUUUAGUACCGGAGCUAACGCGUGAAGUUCGACCGCCGUGGGGAGGACGGCCGCGAAGUAAACGUACGAAGUAAGUAGUAGCGUUGAGAGUUGCGACGGCGACGACGAGGGAGGAGG